AUUGAACGCUGGCGGCAGGCCUAACACAUGCAAGUCGAACGGGUGGCGGACGGGUGAGUGAUGUCUGGGAAACUGCCUGAUGGAGGGGGAUAACUACUGGAAACGGUAGCUAAUACCGCAUACCAUCGGAUGUGCCCAGAUGGGAUUAGCUAGUAGGUGGGGUAAAGGCUCACCUAGGCGACGAUCCCUAGCUGGUCUGAGAGGAUGACCAGCCACACUGGAACUGAGACACGGUCCAGACUCCUACGGGAGGCAGCAGUGGGGAAUAUUGGACAAUGGGCGCAAGCCUGAUGCAGCCAUGCCGCGUGUAUGAAGAAGGCCUUCGGGUUGUAAAGUACUUUCAGCGGGGAGGCGUUACCCGCAGAGGAAGCACCGGCUAACUACGUGCCAGCAGCCGCGGUAAUAC
rnacentral:rRNA from 1 species